ACUUGUCGAGUGUUCGUAUGUUAACGUCGCCGGAGUACAAAUCAUGUUUACAACCACGCUUGAACACUGAGACCUUACGAAGUUUUAAUAUUCCGUCCACACACAUCAAAUAGACGAACAGUUAUUAAGACAUGUUGUUAAAUAGUAUACAGGUUUUAUUCAAUCGAGUAUAAUCGGUAAUAAACGUUCUCUUUAUGUACAUUCGCUAUAACUUUUAAGCACUUGUUUUUAAGUGGGCUAAUUAAAGUCCACGUUUUCACGGGGGUCUGCGAUAGCGUUUUAUGAUACUUGGAUUAGUCCAAACGAUAUAAUAGUAAGAAUUUUAAAAGUAAACAGACAGGGAAGACUCGAUAAUUAUUGAGUCAAGUGGUGUGAGAGUCGGUAAUUAAGAACCUACCGUACGGGUCUCUCCAUUGAGUUCACAGCAACGGACGGGGUGUCCAGGGCUGGAGGCAGGUACAUGCCACGGCCGCUCCAACUCACGUAGGAAUUAGUGCGCCAACGACCAUCGUCUUGAGGCUACGUAGAAUGUUAUUGACAUACGUUGAUAAAUAUACAGAAAAUGUCAAGAAGUCGGAAAUAAACAAAGAAAAUAUAAAUAUUAUACGAAAAUAAAAAAACGUUUGCAGUCUGGAAGUGAGGAAAGCAUAAGUAGGUUAUAUGUAUUACCUUAUCAGUAGACAAUAAAGAUUCGUCUUUCAGAUUGUCGUCGGACACCUUUGUUCUGAGCGGAUGGUGGUACAGUAGCGGGUUACUGAGAGAGUUAGGAGCAGAUUUGGUUAGGAACCAAUUCUGUUCGGGUUCUUCUAGCAUCGGUUCGUGUUCUAAGUCGAAUCUUCUGGAACCGAGAGCGACUCCUAACGCUCCGGAAACUGAUUUUCUUAAUUUCUGGAGGCUGUUGAACCCAUGCUGCAGCUGUUUUCCCUGGAAGCAUUCGUAGAAGCACGACACGCCUUUAAACUAUGAGGGAUUUGAAAUUUUGCUCUUUCAUCAAACUGACGAGGAAUAAGGAUAAAAACAACAAAGCUGAACAAAGAGAACUAAAGAGAAAGAAAGAGGAAAAAGUUAAGAAAAAAAUUUAAACAUUACACGAAACUCAGAAAAAGAGUAACUGUGAUGAAAGAUACAGAGAGACUAAUAAAACCUCAUAUUAGUGACCAGAUUACCAAACUAUUACAUUGUUAUGAGUUCGUGAGGAAAAUGAAUAAAAUGUUAGUGUUGCAUAAUGAAGGCGGUUAAUAUGUUCGUGUGGACUGGAGAUGAGGUGUUCAGCGAAUCGGCCGCGGACUAACACCGUGACAUGCUGUGUGCGUUUUAUCUUUACUCCUCCUCAGAGCGGCACGAGAGGUUAGGGAUUAGUUUGUUAGUUACGAUGACAACUGUUCCAAUGAUCAACAUAAUGUGUGAAAUGGAAACGACUCCGUCCAAAAUUUCUGUAUCCGUUGCUUAAAUAAAUUCCAAUUAGACAAA